rnacentral:snRNA from 1 species
GUUCUCUUCUGAUGACUUUCUAUGGUCAUGAAGGUGGUUUACCUAGAGUCAGCUUCAUCUGUUAUACUCCGGGUGUGCUGACUGCUCUGAUUUCUCCAAAUGUGGGAGACUCAACUGCAUAAUUUGUGGUGCCUUCGUGAUUAUGAUCAUCU